CUUCUUAUCCCUGAGCUCUGCACUCCAUGGGAACUUCAGUCAGGUGGAAAGUUAUUCUCUUCUCUGCAGCUUGAAGUAUCAGCCCACAGUGGAACACCAAGAAGCAACCUGACCCUGCCUGGAUGGAGGCGAGGGCAGCUGAAGCAAGAGGCUGUGACAAGUCACGAAUAUUGGUUCACGUUAUCUCCUUCUCUUCUCACAAGUGAUACAGUAAUGAUCAGAGGAAAAAACAUCCCAGCCAAUCACCAAUGCAGAGCAGCUGCGAUGAAAGAAAGUGAAUAUCUCCA